GUUUUCCCAGGGGGAGGGGAGAAAGAAGAGUGUUUACAAAGUUUUGCAGCCACGCACCUUACUGUCUUCACUUUUGCAAAUGUAGAUUGGAUUUAGUUUUGUUGUGUUAUUUAGCGGUCGGUUUCUUUUUCUACGGAGGAUUCAGCUGAGCCGCCGUAGGAGGGUUUUGUCAGCCAUCAUGUACACCCAAUAAUUUGUUAUAAUUUCCGCAGGUAGUGACAAGAUUUUUUUGGUUUGGUUUCCUAAUUUAAAGGUGUAGGGUCUUGCACAAGCGUGUAUAGUAGUGGGUGCCCGGGGUCUCCGAGUGUGUGUGCCGUGUGUGCGGCGGGUGGUGUGUGUGUGGUGGGGGCCAGUCU
rnacentral:lncRNA from 1 species